UACGUAGGGUGCAAGCGUUAAUCGGAAUUACUGGGCGUAAAGCGUGCGCAGGCGGUUUUGUAAGUUUGUCGUGAAAUCCCCGGGCUCAACCUGGGGAAUGCGAUGAAGACUGCAAGGCUAGAAUCUGGCAGAGGGGGGUAGAAUUCCACGUGUGAGCAGUGAAAUGCGUAGAGAUGUGGGAGGAACACCGAUGGCGAAGGCAGCCCCCUGGGUCAAGAUGACGCUCAUGCACGAAAGCGUGGGGAGCAAACAGG
rnacentral:rRNA from 1 species